rnacentral:rRNA from 1 species
AGUGAACGCUGGCGGUAGGCCUAACACAUGCAAGUCGAACGGCAGCACAGUAAGAGCUUGCUCUUACGGGUGGCGAGUGGCGGACGGGUGAGGAAUACAUCGUAAUCUACUUUUUCGUGGGGGAUAACGUAGGGCAACUUACGCUAAUACCGCAUACGACCUACGAGUGAAAGCAGGGGAUCUUCGGACCUUGCGCUCUUGAAUGAGCCGAUGUCGGAUUAGCUAGUUGGCGGGGUAAAGGCCCACCAAGGCGACGAUCCGUAGCUGGUCUGAGAGGAGGACCAGCCAAACGGGAACGAGGAAACGGUCCAGACUCCUACGGGAGGAAGCAGUGGGGAAUAUUGGACAAGGGGGGCAAGCCGGAUCCAGCCAUACCGCGUGGGUGAAGAAGGCCUUCGGGUGGUAAAGCCCUUUUGUUGGGAAAGAAAAGCAGCAGGUUAAUACCCCGCUGUUCUGACGGUAACUAAAGAAUAAGCACCGGCUAACUUCGUG